GAUGAACGCUAGCGGCAGGCUUAAUACAUGCAAGUCGUGGGGCAGCAGGUCUGUAGCAAUACAGAUGCUGGCGACCGGCAAACGGGUGCGUAACACGUACGCAACUUACCCAUUACAGGGGAAUAGCCCAGGGAAACUUGGAUUAAUACCCCAUAUUAUAUAGGAUUGGCAUCAGUCUUAUAUCAAAGCUUCGGCGGUAAUGGAUGGGCGUGCGGUUGAUUAGAUAGUUGGCGGGGUAACGGCCCACCAAGUCUACGAUCAAUAGCUGAUGUGAGAGCAUGAUCAGCCACACGGGCACUGAGAGCCGGGCCCGCACCCUACGGGAGGCAGCACGAAAGAAUAUUGGGCAAUGGGCGAAAGUCUGACCCAGCCGUGCCGCGUGAAGGAUGAAGGUCCUCUGGAUUGUAAACUUCUUUUAUCUGGGGCGAAAAUCACCCUUUCUCGGGUGCUUGACAGUACCAGAGGAAUAAGCACCGGCUAACUCCGUGCCAGCAGCCGCCGUAAAAC
rnacentral:rRNA from 1 species